GUAUAUUCUGUCUACCUCUCCAUGAUAUACGGUGCUUAUUUAUAGAAUCCUACUUUUCGACUCACUCCUCUCAUCUUUGCCAGAAAAGAGGCCAUGGCUCACAUGAUAUUCAGCUUCAUGGUGGAUGCAACUCUGUCCUCGGUGUUUUCACUUAUCAUAUAUGAAAUCAUCCUUGCUUGGAAUCUCAAUGAUGACUCUAAAUGCCUUCAAGAUUCCCUCACCAUGAUUCAUGCUGUGCUUCGAGAUGCAGACUUACGACAAACCAGGAGAGAACCUGUGAGGCUUUGGCUGAAGAAGCUCAGAGAUGUAGCUUAUGAGGGUGAAGCCGUGUUAAAUAAGUUGCGGAUCGACGAUAUUCGACAAAGGGUUGAGAUGCUAGACCAAUCAGGAACAGAGGUAGCUAUGGAACUUCAUGAAGAGAAUGUUGGGAGAUAGUCCUCCAUAUAGUGCUUCAUGAGAGACUGCCAGAUGCAAGAUUAUGCCAGAUGCACAGCUGCAUCAUUUUCUCUGCAAAUUUCUGCUUUUAUUCGAGCCAACUGGGGGAGAAAAAUAUCAUUCAACUGAGUAGAAAGAAAAGGGGCCAUGGCUCCCAAGAUAUUCAGUCUCCUGGUGGAUGCAACUCUGUCCUGGGUGCUUUCACUCAUCAUAUAUCAAAUCAUCCUUGCUUGGAAUCUCAAUGACGACUCGAAGGGCCUUCAAGAUUCUCUCACCAUGAUUCGUGCUGUGCUUCAAGAUGCAGACGAACAACAACACAGGAGAGAACCUGUGAGGCUUUGGCUGAAGAAGCUCAAAGAUGUAGCUUAUGAGGGUGAAGCCGUGUUAAAUAAGUUAAAGAACGACGAUAUUCGACAAAUGGUUGAGAUGCUAGACCAAUCAGGAACAGAGGUGCAGAAGAUACUGUUGCAGACUUGUGUGUAGAAGUUGCAGAUCUGUUUCCAACUCUUAGGGCUUGUAAAAUUGUCUUAAAGUUUCAUGCGCGCUUGAAGAUAUUGUGGACUGGUAGCUAUGGAACUUCAUGAAGGGAAUGUUGGGAGAUAGUCUUCCAUAUAGUACUUCACGAGAGACUGCGAGAUGCAAGAUUAUGCCAGACGCACAGCUGCAUUAUUUUCUCUGCAAAUUUCUGCUUUUAUUCAUGCCAAUUGGAAAAGAAAAAAAAUCAUUCAACUGAGAAGAAAGGUAAGUGAGACAUUCUAUUUUAUUUCCAAAAGAUAUUUGAAUUUCGGUCAUUAGUAAACUCUAAUUACAAUGGUCACAGAUGAACUGUUUGUUGUUCUGCUUUCAGCAUGUCUCAACUUUGUCCCACUGAUAGACAAAAAAUUUAGCCUUUUGUUAGCUCCUUCUGGGAUUAUGACUGCUAAAUUUUGAGUUAAAGCAAUAAGACUAAACAGAAAUAGAGAUAAGUUUGCAUCACCAACUCGAGCUUUGAGUCUCAAGUUCUCAUCACGGUGCCAACAUCCUUCCGCUAAAAUCGACUAGAGAACCAAGAAGCCUCACUUUGCAAUUGGAAGCCAUUAGAUGGAAGAGCAAUACUGAGUUCAAGCUGCAAUAGUAAACAUAAUUGACCAGACAACUGUGGCUUGUUUAACUUUUUUACUUCCUGCAUAUUGGUAUGAGUUGUAAAUUACAUAUUGCAGUAGAUUUCUUUCGUGCUA